rnacentral:rRNA from 1 species
CCUACGGGAGGCAGCAGUGAGGAAUAUUGGUCAAUGGGCGGAAGCCUGAACCAGCCAAGUAGCGUGCGGGAUGAAGGCCCUACGGGUCGUAAACUGCUUUUGCACGGGGAUAACACCCUCCACUUGUGGAGGUCUGCAUGUACCGUGCGAAUAAGGGCCGGCUAAUUCCGUGCCAGCAGCCGCGGUAAUACGGAGGGCCCGAGCGUUAUCCGGAUUCAUUGGGCUAAAAGGGAGCGUAGGGGGGCGUUCAAGUCAGCUGUAAAAUCGCGGGGCUAAACCGCGCCCCGCAGUUGAAACUGGCAGCCUUGAGUUCACAAGAGGCAGGCGGAAUUCGUGGUGUAGCGGUGAAAUGCAUAGAUAUCACGAGGAACCCCGAUUGCGAAGGCAGCCUGCCGGGGUGCGACUGACGCUGAGGCUCGAAGGUGCGGGUAUCAAACAGGAUUAGAUACCCUUGUAGUC